rnacentral:rRNA from 1 species
CUGGGGCGUAAGCGUGUGUAGGCGGUUCGGAAAGAAAGAUGUGAAAUCCCAGGGCUCAACCUUGGAACUGCAUUUUUAACUGCCGAGCUAGAGUAUGUCAGAGGGGGGUAGAAUUCCACGUGUAGCAGUGAAAUGCGUAGAUAUGUGGAGGAAUACCGAUGGCGAAGGCAGCCCCCUGGGAUAAUACUGACGCUCAAACACGAAAGCGUGGGGAGCAAACAGGAUUAGAUACCCUGGUAGUCCACGCCCUAAACGAUGUCAACUAGCUGUUGGGGCCGUUAGGCCUUAGUAGCGCAGCUAACGCGUGAAGUUGACCGCCUGGGGAGUACGGUCGCAAGAUUAAAACUCAAAGGAAUUGACGGGGACCCGCACAAGCGGUGGAUGAUGUGGAUUAAUUCGAUGCAACGCGAAAAACCUUACCUACCCUUGACAUGUCUGGAAAGCCGAAGAGAUUUGGCCGUGCUCGCAAGAGAACCGGAACACAGGUGCUGCAUGGCUGUCGUCAGCUCGUGUCGUGAGAUGUUGGGUUAAUCCCGCAACGAGCGCACCCUUGUCUUAGUUGCUAUCAAGAGCACUCUAAUGAGACUGCCGGUGACAAACCGGAGGAAGGUGAGGAUGACGUGAGUCCUCUGGCCUUAUGGUAGGGCUUCCACGUCAUACAUGGUCGGGACGAGGGUCGCCACCCGCGAGGGGAGCUAUCUCAGAACCCGAUCUAGUCGGAUCGCAUCUGUACUCACUGCGUGAAUCAGAUCGCUAGUAUCGCGGAUCAGAAUGCGCGCUGAUACGUUCCGGGUCUUGUCACACCGCCGUCACACAUGGGAGUGGGUUCACAGAACUAGUGCCUACCGCAGGAGGCCUUACAGGUGGAUC